rnacentral:rRNA from 1 species
GAUGAACGCUGGCGGCGUGCCUAAUACAUGCCAGUCGAGCGAACAGACGAGGAGCUUGCUCCUCUGACGUUAGCGGCGGACGGGUGAGUAACACGUGGAUAACCUACCUAUAAGACUGGGAUAACUUCGGGAAACCGGAGCUAAUACCGGAUAAUAUAUUGAACCGCAUGGUUCAAUAGUGAAAGACGGUUUUGCUGUCACUUAUAGAUGGAUCCGCGCCGCAUUAGCUAGUUGGUAAGGUAACAGCUUACCAAGGCAACGAUGCGUAGCCGACCUGAGAGGGUGAUCGGCCACACUGGAACUGAGACACGGUCCAGACUCCUAUGGGAGGCAGCAGUAGGGAAUCUUCCGCAAUGGGCGAAAGCCUGACGGAGCAACGCCGCGUGAGUGAUGAAGGUCUUCGGAUCGUAAAACUCUGUUAUUAGGGAAGAACAAAUGUGUAAGUAACUAUGCACGUCUUGACGGUACCUAAUCAGAAAGCCACGGCUAACUACGUG